UUGCUCUGAAUCUGUGAUUGUUGGUUGUGAGUUUUUCUUAUUAAAGUUGCUAAAUAAAUUGGGAGAUGUUGUGAUUUGGGGAGCACGAAGGCUCCAGGAGUAGAGGGUUAUAGAUGGAUUCUUUUAAAGUGAACGCAUGUAUUAUUAGGAAGGGUUGUCCAUUUUCAAGGGAGCUUAUUUCAAAUUUUCGGUAAAUUUUCCUUGGAGGUGGUCCCCGCAGGAUUUACUUCGGGUUUCAAGGUGAAAUUCGGGGUGGGUCUUGACACCUAGGGCCACCAAGAAGUUGCCAUGAUUCGCCAUGACUCGCCUAGGCCCGUCAAAAGACUGCCUUUACACGCCUUGACCGUCCUAGGCCCGCCUAGGGCCACCAAUUGACCCGUCUAGGGCCGCCAAGGGCCACCUUAACCAGCCUUAGGCCGUCUUGACCCAUCUUGGCUUGCCUUGGCCCUCCUCGGCCCUUCUAGGACCACCUAUGGCUGCCAAGGGGGAGCCAUGAGCCACCUAGAGCCACCAAGCGGCUGCCUUUACACACCUAGGUCUGUUUUGACCUCCCUAGGGCCUUUCAUGACCCGCCUAGGGCCGCCAAGGGGCUGCCUACAGACGCCUUGGGGUUACCUUGACCCGUCUAGGGCCGCCCAGACUCACUUUGGCCUGUUUUGGGCCGCUUUGACCCUCCUUUACUCGCCUUGGACCGCCUUUACCCGCCUUGGACCGCCUUAACCCGCCUUGGACCGCCUUGACCCGCCUUAGACUGCCUUGACCCGCCAUGGGCCGUCUUGACCCGCCUUGAACCGCCUUAGGCCGCCUUGACCCUCCUAGACCCGCCUAGGGCCGCCUUGACCGCCUUGAGCGUUGAGCCGCCUUGACCAAUCUUGGGCCGCCUUUACACGCCUUGAACCGCCUUGACCCUCCUAGACCCGCCUAGGGCCGGCUUGACCCUCCUAGACCCGUCAAGAGGCCGCCUAGGGCCACCAUGGGGCCACCUUGACCCGCCUUGGCCCUGCCUUGACCCGCUUUGGCCUGCCUUGACCCUCCUAGACCCGCCUAGGGCCACCAAGAAGUCGUCAUGACUUGCCAUGACCCGUCAAGGGGCUGCCUUUACGACCAUCCUAGGCCCGCCUGUUAGGGUUGUACGUGGCUCAAAACUGAUUCCUUGUCUGUUUUGGAGUUUUUACUUCUGAAGGUCUGAAGGCUUUGGGUAAGUUAUUCUAGUGUGUCUAGGAUUCUUAGAGUUUAUCCUUAGAAGUAAUGGUUUAGGAUCCCUGUUAUGGUUCUAAAUCUUAUUGUAAGUCAGACUAGUUGAGAGUCUAUAAAUAGGACCUUAGAGACAUAGUUUUAGGUGUGGAUCAAUUGAGAGUUUAGAGAUUCAAGAGUUGCAAGCUUUGAAAGUUUGGGUGAUUUAAGAGUGUUCUCUGCUGAGAAUCUAGAGUGUGAGGAGAGAGGUUAUUUGAGGGUGAAGAACCGUAUUGUUCUUCAGUUGUAAUCUUCUUCUUGUUUAGUGGAUCCACCAUCACCAUCACCGGAAGACGUAGGUCAACUGUUUUGACCGAACAUCGUUAAUAUCUUGUGUUCGCUUGCAUUGAUUUUGGUUAUUGUCUUCAUUCAGUUAUGAUCUUGGGCUAAGGAAUUCAGAGGGUGACCCAUCUAGGGACGCCCUGACCCGCUUUGGCCCGUCUUGGGCCGCCUUGAACCGCCUAGGGCCACCAAGAACCGCCAUGACCCUCCUAGGCUCGUGUUGGGCCGCCAAGAGACCGCCUUAACCCGUCUUGACCCGCCUUGACCCGUCUUGACCAUCCUAAGCCCACCUAGGGUAGCCAAAGGGCUGCCUUUACACUCCUUGACCCGUCUAGGGCCGCCAAGAGGCCGGCCGCCUUGACACUCCUAGGGCCGCUAAGGGGACGUCUUGACCCGCCAAGGGCUGCCUUUACACGCUUAGGGCUGUUUUGACCUCCCUAGGGCCCGCCAUGACUCGCCUAGGGCCUCCGCCUUGGGGUCACCUUGACCUCCAAAGGGCACGCCUUUACCCGCCUUGACUAGCCUUGGGCUGCCUUUACACGCCUUGACCCUCGUAGGCCCGCCUAGGGCCACCUUGACCCGUGUACGGCCGUCAAGGGCCGCCUUAACCCUCCUUGACCUGCCUAGGGCUACCAAGGGGGACGCCUAGACACACCUAGGUUCACCAACGGGACGUCUUAACCUACCAAGGGGCUGCGUUUACACGCCUAGGUCUGUUUUGACCUCCUUAGGGCCCACCAUGACCCGCCUAGGGCCACCAAGGGGCUGCCUACGGCCGCCAUGGGGCUACCUUGACCCGUCUAGGGCCGCCUUUACCUACCUUGGCCCAUCUUGGGCCGCUUUAACCCGCCUUUAACCCGUAUUUACCCGCCCUGGACCGCCUUUACCCGCCUUGGGCCACCUUUACCCUUUUAGGGCCGCCUUGAUCCUCUUAGGGCCGCCUUGACCCUCCUAGGGCAGCCUUGACCCACCUUGACCCGUCUAGGGACGUGCCUUGACCUGCCUUGGCCCACCUUGACCCGCCUUAACCCUCCUAGACCCCACCUAGGGCCACCAAGAAGCCGCCAUGANNNNNNNNNNNNNNNNNNNNCCUUGACCCGCCUUAACCUGCCUUGACUUGCCUUAGGGCGCCUAGACCCGCGCUUGACCGCCUUGACCCACCUUGACUUGCCUUGACCCUCCUAGACCUGCCUAGGGCCACCAAGAAGCCGCCACGACUCGCCAUGACCCGUCAAGGGGUUGCAUUUACACGCCUUGACCCUCCUAGGCCCGCCUAAGGCCACCUUGACCAGUGUACGGCCGACAAGGGCCGCCUUAACCCGCCUUAGGCCGGCUGGACCCGUCUUAACCCUCUUUGACCCGCUUAGGGCCGCCAAAGGGGACGCCUUGACACGCCUAGGGUCGCCAAAGGGAUGUCUUGACCUGCCAAGGGGCUGCCUUUACACGCCUAGGUCUGUUUUAACCUCCUUAGGGCCCGCCAUGACACGCCUAGGGCCACCAAGGGGCUGCCUACGGCCGCCAUGGGGCUACCUUGACCCGUUUAGGGCCGCCUUGACCCCCUUUUGCCCGUCUUGGGCCGCUUUGACCCAUCUUGGCCCGCCUUGGACCUGCCUUGACCCGCCUUGGACUUGCCUUGACCCGCCUUGGGCCACCUUGACCCUCUUAAGGCCGCCAAGGGGUUGGGUUCACUCGCCUAAGGCCGCUAAGGGGACGUCUUGACCCGCCAAGGGGCUGCCUUUACACACCUAGGGCUAUUUUAACCUACCUAGGGCCUGCCAUGACCCGCCUAGGGCCACCUUGACCUUGUUAGGCCAGCCUAGGGCAGCCGAGAGGGCGCCAAGACCCACCUUGGGUCGUCAAGAGGCCACCUUGACCCGUCUAAGGACCAGCCUUGACCUGCCUGGGCCCACCUUGUCCCGCCUUGGGCCACCUUGACCCUUCUUAGACCACCGAAAAGCCUCCUUAAAUCGCUAAGGGGGCCGCCUUAACACACCAAGGGCCGCCAAGGGGACGUCUUGACCUGCCAAGGGGUUGUCUAUACACGCCAAGGUCUGUUUUGACCUCUCUAGGGCAGCCUUGACCCACCUAGGGCCACCAAAAAGCCGCCAUCAGUCGCCAUGACCCUCCUAGGCUCGUUUAGGGCAGCCAAGGAGCCGCCUUCACCCUCCUAGGCCCACCUAGGGCAGCCAAAGGGCGCCUUGACUUGCCUUGGACCGCCUUGGAACGCCUUGGGUCGCCUUAGCCCGCUUUUGACCGCCUUGACCCACCUUGACUUGCCUUAGGCCGCCUAGACCCGCGUUUGACCGCCAUGACUUGCCUUGACCCUCCUAGGGCCACCACCAAGGGGCUGCCUUUACACGCCAAGGUUUGUUUUGACCUCUCUAGGGCCCGCCUUGAUCCGCUUUAACCCUCAUAGACCCACCUAGGGCCACAAGAAAGCCGCCAUGACUCGCCAAGGGGUCGCCAUGACCCUCCUAGGCCCGUCUAGGGCAUCCAAGGUGCCAUCUUGACCCGCCUUGACCCCUCUCGACUCUUCUAGGCCCACCUAGGGCAGCCAAGGGGCGGCCAAGGGGUGCCUUGACCCGCCUUGGACUGCUUUAACCAGCCUUGGAACGUCUUGGGCCGUCUUUGACCGCCUUGGGCCGCCUUGACCUGUAUUGGGCCGCCAUGACCAGCCUUGACCCACCUCUGAUUGCCUUGACCCGCGUUGACUUGCCUUGGGCCGCCAUGACCCGCCUUGAACCGCCUUGGGCCACCUUAACCUUUCCUUGACCCGCCUUGGGCUGCCUUCACCCGCCUUUACCCGCCAUAGGCAGCCUUGACCCGCCAAGGGGCCGCCUAGGGCCGCCUUGACCCGCCUUAACCUGCCUAUGGCCACCAAGGGGCGCCUUGACCCGGCUAGGGCCGCCUUCACCAGGUUAGGGCCGCCUUGACCCUUUUAGGGCCGUCUUGACCCGCCUUUACCCGCCUUGACAUGCCUUCACCAGGUUAGGGCCGCCUUUACCCGUCUAGAGCCGCCUUUACCCAUAUUCGCCCGCCUUGACCCUCCUAAGGCAGCCAAGAGUCCACCUUGACCCCGCUAGGGCCGCCAAGGGGCUGCGUUCACCCAUCCAAGGCCACCAAGGGGCUGCCUUGACCUUGCUAGGACCGCUAAGCUAAGGGGCCGCGUUCACUCAUCUAAGGCCGCCAAGGGGCUGCCAUGACCCUCCUAGACCCGCGUAGGGCCGCCUUGACCCUCCUAGGCCCUCCUUGGCUCACCUAGGCCCACCAAGGGGCCGCCAUGACUCACCAAGGGGUCGCCAUGACCCUCUUAGGCCUGUGUAGGGCCGUCAAGCGGCCGCCUUGACCCCGUUAGGGCCGCCAAAGGGUUACGUUCACUCGUCUAAGGCGGCCCCGCCAAAGGGCUGCCUUAAUGUAACAUCCUGGAAUUUCAGUUUUCUAUUUUUAAAAGGAAAAUUAUUUAAGAACUAUUUUUAUUUCGAUUUCUUUAUCCAUUCAAAUUCUUUGUAGCUUUCGAAAAUUAUUCAAAUUUUUUAGUUUGUCGAAAAUUUUCUUUCGAGCCCAUAAGAUUAAACUAGACGUCGUUACGAGUUCGUAGGAUUUUUUCGGAGCAUCGUUUGGACUUCGAAGCUAUUUUUAAUGAUUUUUGGAAGUUGGUAUUAUCCAAAAUUUUAAUUAAAAAUAGAAUAUUUGUUGGCAUGAUCUGGGUCGUCAGAUCUUUUUAACCGUCUAAUCUAGGCCGUUGGAUUGGAGUAUAUAUAAUUUGGAUUAGCUUGGACUGCAACAUAACACAGCUCAGACCGACUUCGGUCUCGAGCUGCUCUGCAGCAACGGAGCUCGGAGGCAUCGUUCGUCAUCCGGCCAUCUCUCGGCGCAAGACCGGCGUCCUUAGGUCCGUCUCGUCGUCCCCAACCUCCUUGUGAUUCUAGCUUGAAGAGUGGAGCUCCGGUGAGAGAGAAAAGGAGGAGAGAAGGCAAUUGUGUUUCGGAUCGGGUUUUCGAUUCCGGCAGCGAGCGUGAAUGGUAGUGGAAGCUUCCUCUCGUCCUUGUGGUCUUCCCUAUGUCCUCAGUUUCUUCAGAAGAGGUCGGGAGAGAGAGAUUCGAAGUGGAGAAGGAAAGACUGGGUUCACCGGCGAGUUAUCGAUUCUGGCCAAGUCGUGAUCUCUCACCAGUGUGAAUAGCUUUGUCUCCUUAUCCUCGACGUCCAUGUAACUUCAGCUUGUCGAGACGAGGUCAGGUGAGGGAGAAUCGAAGAGAAGAAGUUUUGGGAUUUUCCGGCAAGGGUUCGAUGUUUUCCGGCCAUCGGCGAAGGCAAGCGAGGUAUCAAUCUUCAUCUACUCGUCAAGCUUUACAUGUUUCUAUAAUUGGAAUUGAGUUUGGUUGAGGUUUGGAGGAAGUUGGGUUUUAGGCAGUGGAGGACUGCCGUAUGUGCCGCUGUGCACGGCGGCGAUGGCGGUGGUUUUGGAAGUUGGUUUCCGGCUUUAUUAGUGUAUUGAAUUGGUUUGAGUGAUUGCAAAUGCUUGAAUUUGAGAAUUGGAGGAGUUGAUGAUCGGAACUCGGAAGGUAUUGUUUUAGUUGGAAGGUGUAGAACAAUAGCCACUGUUAUUGUUGUUAUUAUUGCUGUUAUUGCUGUUAAUGUCCAAACGCCAUUCUUAGUGUGUUUGAUAAAGAGAUGAUGGAACAUAAAUUGUGGAAGUUAGAAGAAAGAUGUUGAAUUGUAUUGUUGAAGUGAUCGGUCAUGAACUAGUAGGUUGGCUUGUUGGUUAUGGAAGUUGUCGUAUAUAUAGACAUAUUCAUUGUGAAUUGUGAAGUGCAGGAGGUUUAGUAUGUUAGUUUCUUAAGUAAAAAGAAAUUAAUGUAUUAGACUUGAAGAAGAAUGUGUGAUCAGGACACUUGAGAGGAAAUGCAGAUUAAGGCUUUGGGUGUCCAUAGCAAUUUGAAGGAUGGAAUGGAAGAAUUGAACACUUGUUUUUGGGUGUCUAUAAUUUCAUAAUUAGACUAUGAAGGUCAAUGGAAUCGAAGGAUGAUGGUUUUGGGUGUACAAAGUAAUUUCAGAAAUUUGGAUAGAAAUGGGUGCAAUUGGAAUAUGACGACGCACUUGGGUGUCCUUAGUAAAUUUCCGAAUUAGAUCAAGCUGAUGUGAAGUGACCUGUCAACAUUCUCGGAAUGAAGAUUGAGUAUGAGGAUUGAAUGCGAGGAGCUGGAUUGCAGAAGUAGAAGAAUAAGGAUUUUAGAAGUGUGUCGCCGAGUUACUAAUUUUAGCUAGCGUCAAAAGUAGCUCUCGGAUUCUAGGUAGGGUCUCUCUCUCUCAGGGAACCUCUUUUUAAAUUGAUAAUUAGGUUAUUAUUGAAAUCGGUGCAUUGUGUGGCAUUGGUUGAUAUAA
rnacentral:lncRNA from 1 species